rnacentral:rRNA from 1 species
GAUGAACGCUGGCGGCGUGCCUAAUACAUGCAAGUUGAGCGAACGGACGAGAAGCUUGCUUCUCUGAUGUUAGCGGCGGACGGGUGAGUAACACGUGGAUAACCUACCUAUAAGACUGGGAUAACUUCGGGAAACCGGAGCUAAUACCGGAUAAUAUUUUGAACCUCAUGGUUCAAAAGUGAAAGACGGUUUUGCUGUCACUUAUAGAUUGAUCCGCGCUGCAUUAGCUAGUUGGUAAGGUAACGGCUUACCAAGGCAACGAUGCAUAGCCGACCUGAGAGGCUGAUCGGCCACACUGGAACUGAGACACGGUCCAGACUCCUACGGGAGGCAGCAGUAGGGAAUCUUCCGCAAUGGGCGAAAGCCUGACGGAGCAACGCCGCGUGAGUGAUGAAGGUCUUCGGAUCGUAAAACUCUGUUAUUAGGGAAGAACAUAUGUGUAAGUAACUGUGCACAUCUUGACGGUACCUAAUCAGAAAGCCACGGCUAACUACGUG